rnacentral:lncRNA from 1 species
NNNNNNNNNNNNNNNNNNNNNNNNNNNNNNNNNNNNNNNNNNNNNNNNNNNNNNCCUCUUCCGCUCACUUGCCCCCCCCAAGCCCUUGCCCCCCCUUGCCCCCACCCCAAGCCUUGCACACUCGUUGCACACUCGUUGCACACUCAUCGCACGCACACACCCCCCACGUGCAAAGCUGCCACGAGGCCUUGCACACUCGUUGCGACUCCAACCCUUGCACACUCAUUGCACCCCCCCAAGCCAGGCCUUGCACACUCAUUGCACCACCCAAGCCUUGCACACUCAUUGUGCCACCCAACCCUUGCACACCCAUUGCACCCCCCAACCUCUACACGCUCGUUGUACCCCCAAGCCUUGCACACUCACUGUGCCCACCUGGGGCCUUGCACACUCAUUGCACCACCCUACCCUUGCACACUGAUUGCACUCCCCCAAGCCUUGCACACUUGUGCCACCCAACCCUUGCACACUUGUUGCAUCCACCAGAGGUCUUGCACACUCGUUGCACCCCCCCAGGCCUUGCACACUCAUUGCACCACCCAAGCCUUGCACACUCAUUGUGCCACCCAACCCUUGCACACCCAUUGCACCCCCCAACCUCUACACGCUCGUUGUACCCCCAAGCCUUGCACACUCACUGUGCCCACCUGGGGCCUUGCACACUCAUUGCACCACCCUACCCUUGCACACUGAUUGCACUCCCCCAAGCCUUGCACACUUGUGCCACCCAACCCUUGCACACUUGUUGCAUCCACCAGAGGUCUUGCACACUCGUUGCACCCCCCCAGGCCUUGCACACUCAUUGCACCACCCAAGCCUUGCACACUCAUUGUGCCCCCCAAGCCUUGCACACCCCAACCCUUGCACAUUCAUUGUGCCCACCUGAAGCCUUGCACACUCAUUGUACCCCCCCAACCUUUGCACACUCAUUGCACCUCCAAACCUUUGCACACUCGUUGAACCACCCCUACCCUUGCACACUCAUUAUACCCACCUGAAGCCUUUCACACUCGUUGCACGACCAAACCCUUUCACACUCGUUGCGCCACCCAAGCCUUGCACACUCAUUGCACCACCCAAGCCUUGCACGCUCGUUGCACCCUCAAGCCUUGCACACUCAUUGUGCCCACCUGAGGCCUUGCACACUCAUUACACUCCCCAGCCUCUACACACUCAUUGCACCACCCAACCCUUGCACACUUGUUGUGACCCCAACCCUUUCACACUCAUUGAACCCCCCAACCCUUGCACACUCAUUGCACCCUCCUGAGGCCUUGCACACUCAUUGCACCAUCCAACCUCUACACACUCAUUGCACCACCCAACCCUUGCACACUUGUUGCACCAUCAAACCCUUGCACACUCAUUGUGCCCACCUGAGGCCUUGCACACUCAUUGCACCCUUAACCCUUGCACACUCGUUGCACCCACAUGAAGCCUU